rnacentral:rRNA from 1 species
UGGGAAACAGGUUAAUAUUCCUGUACUUGGUGUUACUGCGAAGGGGGGACGGAGAAGGCUAUGUUGGCCGGGCGACGGUUGUCCCGGUUUAAGCGUGUAGGCUGGUUUUCCAGGCAAAUCCGGAAAACUAAGGCUGAGGCGUGAUGACGAGGCACUACGGUGCUGAAGCAACAAAUGCCCUGCUUCCAGGAAAAGCCUCUAAGCAUCAGGUAACAUCAAAUCGUACCCCAAACCGACACAGGUGGUCAGGUAGAGAAUACCAAGGCGCUUGAGAGAACUCGGGUGAAGGAACUAGGCAAAAUGGUGCCGUAACUUCGGGAGAAGGCACGCUGAUAUGUAGGUGAAGCGACUUGCUCGUGGAGCUGAAAUCAGUCGAAGAUACCAGCUGGCUGCAACUGUUUAUUAAAAACACAGCACUGUGCAAACACGAAAGUGGACGUAUACGGUGUGACGCCUGCCCGGUGCCGGAAGGUUAAUUGAUGGG